rnacentral:lncRNA from 1 species
CUUGACGUAGCUCUUAUGUGAUGUGACUUUUCUUUCAUGCUUGGGCCCUUCCUACUGGGAUGAUUGUAACAUAAAGCUGAGCCCAGCACCUACGUUAUGUGACUCUCCUCUUGUUUAUGAGCCCUACCCGCAGGAGGCAUUGUGACAUAUCUUUAGGCCUCUCACUUAGGUAAUGUGACUUCUUUGCCUAGGCCCUCCCCU